GAGCUGUGAAGAAAUUGGCAUAAGCGUUGGUUGGGUCCUUCGCAUUCUUCUGAUUUCUCGGAUGUAUUCGCCACCCUCCUGAGCUC
rnacentral:snoRNA from 1 species